rfam:Canis lupus familiaris chromosome 17, whole genome shotgun sequence.
CCAAAGGCUCUUUUCAGAGCCACCCACGUUCUCGCCGAAAGGAGCU